GUUUUUUUUAACUGACACUCUGAUGAAACACUGUGACAAACUUAACACCACACUCCUUUAUCACCAUCAGCUGGUUGGAUGUGGUCAGGUAUUGCGGUCAGGUAUCUGAAGGUGCAGUGCACUUCAGUGGGAACGUAGCAGGCGCAUGAUUUGGGGCAGUCACCGCUCGACGGCCGCGCGGCAGCCAAGAACAACAGAGCCAUCAGGAGCCACCUCCGCAGGUCUUUACUGCUGCUUUCGUACACGCCCUCUACCUCCCCAUCACCACCCAGUCUUUACAGAUUCAUCAGCCUCAUCCGCAUCAGCAGUCAUCAGCCACCACCACAAGUGUCAGGACUCCAUGGGGGGAUUUAUCUUGCUGCUGCUCAGAUGUCCCUGGAUCACAAAAAAUCACCCUCUGGUGUCAAGUGCCAAAGACUUAUGUUAAAUC